AACAACAGCAGCUUUUCAACAUGGCGAAUAACAGCACAGGCUAAAACGGGCUAGCGUCUCUCCCCCUCUCACCUUCUGUUAAACCCUGAAGAAUAGUAUGCAGCAGCCUUUGACAAUAUCCCAGAAAGAGUUUAAAUAAUGGAAACGCGGGGGAUUGAGCAGAUGUUCGACUUCCAGCGGUUACCAAAUGAUCGCUUCAUCCUCCUGCUGUUGUUGCUGUACUCCCCUGUUGGCUUGUGCUUGAUGCUUCUGCGAAUAUUUAUUGGUGUUCAUGUGUUUCUAGUGAGUUGUGCACUACCUGACAGUAUUGUCAGAAGGUUCAUAGUGAGAAUAAUGUGUUCAGUGCUGGGUCUGCAUGUCCGGCAGAACAGCCCGCGCUUACGGGACAAAACCGCCCGACUUUACGUCUCCAAUCACGUCACACAUUUCGACCACAAUAUUAUCAACCUCCUGACCUCCUGUAACACGGUGAGUGCUCCUCUGCUGGAGGGCCCCGUGGGGUUCCUGUGCUGGGCGAGGGGUUUUAUGGAGCUGGGUCAGGGCGUCGGGAGCAGGACGGAGCUGACAGAGACCCUCCGCAGAUAUUGCUCAUCUCCUAACGCUUUACCCCUCCUGCUCUUUCCAGAGGAGGACACCACCAACGGCCGGACCGGCCUCCUCAAGUUCAGCUCUUGGCCUUUCUCUGUGUCUGACUCCGUCCAGCCUGUGGCAUUGCUGGUGAAGAGGCCUUUCAUAGCUUUGAACACGCCAGAAUCCUCAUGGCUGAAGGAGCUGCUGUGGACCUUUUUCGUACCGUUCACAGUGUACCAUGUAAGAUGGCUUCCACCAUUGUCUAAAGAAGAUGGUGAAUCUCAUAUCGAAUUUGCCAGCAAAGUCCAAGAGCUGCUGGCCUCCAAGCUGGGCGUGAUCUCCACACAGAUCACUAAAGCAGACAAAGCCGAACACAUCAAAAGGAAAAGACACACUGCCGCUCAGACCGCACAUUCAAGUAAGAACGGAUUCAAUGAUUUGGGUGCCAGACCUCGCACAGUGGCACAGGGUUUCCUGGGCACGAGUGCAGGGGCCGAAGACUCACGAGUAGCACGUAUGGUGCAGCAGGUGAAAGAGGUGCUGCCUGACGUCCCAUUAUCGGUCAUCACCAGAGACCUGUUACAGACCAACUGUGUGGACACAACCAUAACCAACCUGCUGGAGCAUGCUGACCAGUUCAGCUCGGAGGCGUCUGCGAGCGCUCCUUCAGCUCCAGCCAAACCCGCAGCUUCCUCCACCCUGUCUACCGCAAUAAUGAGGGAGAUUGUGCAUUUACAGGCUGGACAGUGCGGCAAUCAGAUUGGUGCCAAGUUUUGGGAAGUCAUUAGCGACGAGCAUGGAAUUGACCCACAGGCAGUUACCAUGGCGACAGUGACCUUCAGCUGGACCGAAUUAACGUUUAUUACAAUGAAGCCUCAGGUGGAAAGUAUGUUCCACGUGCUGUUCUUGUGGAUUUGGAGCCUGGUACUAUGGACUCUGUGAGGUCUGGUCCAUUUGGUCAGAUCUUCAGACCAGACAACUUUGUUUUUGGCCAGAGUGGUGCUGGAAACAACUGGGCUAAGGGCCACUAUACCGAAGGAGCUGAGCUGGUUGACUCAGUUUUGGAUGUGGUUCGGAAAGAGGCGGAGAGCUGUGACUGUCUUCAGGGCUUCCAGCUGACUCACUCCUUGGGUGGAGGUACAGGGUCUGGUAUGGGAACCCUCCUCAUUAGCAAAAUCCGCGAAGAGUACCCUGACCGCAUCAUGAACACCUUCAGUGUAGUCCCCUCUCCUAAAGUAUCAGACACCGUGGUAGAGCCCUACAAUGCCACACUUUCUGUCCAUCAGCUGGUGGAAAACACAGACGAGACCUACUGCAUCGACAACGAAGCCCUUUAUGACAUCUGCUUCCGUACUCUCAAACUCACAACUCCUACUUAUGGUGACCUCAACCACCUAGUCUCUGCCACCAUGAGCGGCGUCACUACCUGCUUGAGGUUCCCCGGUCAGUUGAACGCUGAUCUCCGUAAACUGGCAGUGAACAUGGUACCCUUCCCCCGUCUGCACUUCUUCAUGCCAGGCUUUGCUCCACUGACCAGCCGAGGCAGCCAGCAGUACCGUGCCCUGACCGUUCCCGAACUCACCCAGCAGAUGUUUGACGCCAAAAACAUGAUGGCCGCCUGCGACCCGCGUCACGGCCGCUAUCUCACUGUGGCCGCCGUCUUCCGUGGCCGUAUGUCCAUGAAGGAGGUGGACGAGCAGAUGCUCAACGUUCAGAACAAGAACAGCAGCUACUUCGUGGAAUGGAUCCCCAACAACGUUAAGACCGCCGUCUGCGACAUUCCACCUCGUGGUCUCAAAAUGGCCGCCACCUUCAUCGGCAACAGCACUGCUAUCCAGGAGCUUUUCAAGAGGAUCUCCGAGCAGUUCACAGCCAUGUUCAGGCGCAAGGCUUUCCUGCAUUGGUACACGGGAGAGGGCAUGGACGAGAUGGAGUUCACUGAGGCGGAGAGCAACAUGAACGACCUGGUGUCCGAGUACCAGCAGUACCAGGAUGCCACCGCUGAGGAGGAAGGAGAGUUUGAGGAGGAGGGUGAAGAGGAGCUUGCUUAAGUUGAAUUAUGUUAUUGUGUGGUCCAUGUUCUUUUUUUUUUUUCCCUUUUUCUAAACUUGUCACCCGUUUAUAUUUUUUCUUACUGCAUUAUCCUGUCACUUACAACCUUCAGUUCUUCUUCAUGUAAAUGUCAAUAAAACAAAUGCAAGAACUUUA